GCUCAGAAGGACUUUGGCUGUGUCUGAGCCUGCUCCCAGGAAAAGAGCUGUUUUGGUCCCUGGCCCUGCAGCUGGGAGAGUCAUGGCUGGGUGAGAAGGGAAUGUGGACAUUCUCCUGGCAGCUUUGGCUGAGGAAGAGGAGGAGUAAUGUGGUUAUAGGAAAAGUCACAACAGACCAAAGUCCACUGAGGCUGCUUCUGCUCCAGCACCGACAGGGGAGCAAAGGACCAAACCCUGAACACCUCUGUAUUCUCCUUGGAAAAGGGACAACAGGUUUUGGGAGGAAGGAGACUUCUUGCUCUGUUCAGCCCAUCCCAGCAAGCUCCAGGGUACUUGAGAAGCUAAAGAAGACACUGAGUCAAUGCAACACCAUCCAGCCCAAUAUGGGGGUCGCGUGGCUGUGACUUUUUCCAGCAGCAGCAGCAAUAGUGAUCCCCUAUGACAGCCCAGGACCUGCCUUUGGCACUGCUCAGUGCAUUUAUUUCUGCAAGUGGGGGCUCCUGCCCAGACACUGCCCCCACCUGAGUGCUCAGUGAGUGG